UAUUAAGUCAUCGUGUCAGCGACACCUAUAUGCUGGAUUACAGCAACAGAUAUAGCAAAAGACUUGGGUUUAUCACGUACAAUACGGUACUAAAAAGCAUAGAAACAACAACAACGGAUGAUAAAUAAAAUACGGAAAUAUGAAGAGCCAUGAGGACUUUGAUUAAGGAAACCGGUACCGCUUGACGAGCGCAAGGGCGCCAUCAAGCGAAUGCGAUAUACCUCAAUGUACACAAUUAAACGAGAAUAACGCUUAUUAACAUGACUAAGCACUUUGAAAACUGGAUCGGCGUGCCCAGCAACGUUAAUUUCAAUUUGACAGAACUUUACUGGCUUAAUGAACUGAUGCAUGCUGAAGCAUGCAUUUCUUUCACAUUUAGGUUAUAUGAUAAAAAGUUGUCGAAAGUGAAAAACAGAACUUGGCACAUACAGAGUAAAUGACGAUGCGAAUUUAGAAUACAGUGGAAGAACACGAUUGCAUCCCGGUAUGGUACCGGUAACGGUUCAGGGAAUAUACGACUAGAAGAAGAUCAGACACAUGAAAAGGCAAUGUUUUCAGACUACUGGCAAAAAUAAACAUCAAGCGUUUGCUCUUGAUUGAAGAGCUGCAUGGGAUUUGUCGCUGUCGAGGAGGCUAGUGUCGUCAGCAAACAAUUUGGUUGAGAGCGAAGAGCAGUGAACUAUGUCAUUGACAUAUACUAGGAAAAAUAAUGGGCCCAAUAUACUACCUUGUGGAACUCCGUGAGUCACUGAUUUGAAGAGGGG